UGGUGACACUAGGGAUGUCUCACACUGGAGACUGAAAGGAUCAGCACUAGGGGAGUGCCGCAAUGUCAGAGGCUCAGUGCUGUACUGUCUGAGGCUCUUUCACACUUAAUCAGUAAGUUGUUGUCUACCAGCCCAGUUAAAGAUCCUGUGGCACAAUUUGAGGACAAACAGGUGGAAGAAGAGGAUUAGUGUAAAGCGAAGCAAAUAAGGAUACCAACCUGAAGCCAAUGGAAAUGCAAAGACCUGACCAGCACUGCUGGACCAGCUGAGCUUCUCCAACAUUCUGUGUCUGAGGAGUAUUAAUGUGCUGUUAGUGAGCACCUCUGAACUUCCCAGAUGAUGUUCUUGCCAAUGAUGUUUCCAGUUGAGGUACAGUUGCUAGCACACUCAUCUCUGAAUCAGGAGCUCAAGCUGCAAUCCAGGAAUCUUGGAGAAAUUACAGGGUGACAGUUCAGUGGGAGCUAAUUUCUAUUCAUUCAAGAGCAUGAGGGCUUCAGUCGCUGAGUCACCAUUUCUUGUCCUAAUUGCCUUUGAAAAGGUGAUGGUGAACUAUCUGUUGAAAUACUGCAGCCCUUGGGAGGGCAAUGGUGUACGUGGGAGGUUGAGGUUAGUGCAGCACUGUUGGUCAUCCUAUCAGAUGCCAACUUUCUAAUGAAAGGCUAAGCCAAGCUUCAUCUUGCUCUCGCAGGUGGACAUGAAUGAUUCCAUGACAGUGAAGGCUAAGAGACUUUACUCUGGCUAACUCUCCCUCAACUAAAACAAAUCAGAAUAUGGGAUGAUUUAUAUCAUUUUUUUUUUUGCAGUGUACAAAUUGGCUGCUGUUUUUCGUACAUUAGAACAACAUCCAUAAUUCAAAAGUAUCUAUUGGUUGCCAAGAUUUCUGGCAUGCCCUAAGGUUGUGGAAGGUACUUUUAGAAUGGACUGGAACUAAAUGAUGAGUAUUAGACAUUAUGUUCUGGAACAUAGUGUGCAGUUCUGUAUCAGGAUAUGAGUGAGUGUUGUACUGUCUGUUUCCAAUCCUGUUUUGGGCUUAGACAAUACAGGGGUCUUUCACUAUCUGAGUUAGUAGAUGCAGUGCAAUGGGUCUUGCUUUGCAUGUUGCCUCUGUGAGGCUUCAGGAAUUUACAGGAGACCUAAUGAAAACCAUUACAAUAAGAAUGUAAAAGAUAAGUUGGCAAGACAUGAAUGCAGCUCCCCAGGCACCAUCUCUGAGCCCAGAAGGUGACUCCUGGCCUCUGCAAACAGAAACAGAGUGUUAUGUUUCAGUCAGAUACUACAUGCAUUCUAUAUCAUCAGAGAUUACCCAGUGGCUGUAAAGUGGACUGUCCAACAGUGAAGGAAUCUCAUGGAACAGCCAGUCUUUCAAAACCACUUGCUCCAAAGGAGCAAGCCUGUGCCUCACCACUGAUCACAAUGGUAACUUUCAAUGUCAAAGAUUUGAACACUGUUUAUCAGACAUGCACUGUCCUAAUAUUACUGUGUUGUUGGAAUAAAUGUCAUUCCAGUGCAUGGAACUCAAGUAUAUUAAAUCAAUCUUUAAAGUCCUGAUGAGUUAAGAUGAUUCUCUUCAUCAGUUCAGUUAAUGCUUACAUCUCAUUAUACUGCAUUAUGUUGAAUUUAUGAACCAGGUCUGACAUUUCUCACAAAGGCAUGAUCCAAGUAUAGUGUGGUCUGAUUUUAAUGUUUGGCUGCACCACGAAAAGUUAAUUGGUGCCAAAAUCCACCAAGAGACAGCUGUAGAUUUUUGAAACCUGAUCACUUUUUUUCUCUAGGGGUGUAUACUUUUAUGAAGUGCUGAGACUGAAUGAGUUGCUGAAUGAACUGGUUUAUGGGAGAACAAUGUAACUAUUUCUAUCUGCAAUCCAAGUCUUGGAUCUGCUUCCUAGCAAAGUAGCUGUACAUCAAAAGCAAUUCAACUGCUGCCUUAACUCUUUGCACCAUCCAUCAUGCACGUACACACACUUUUCAGGGUUACACCUGUACUGAGCCACUUCCUGUAAGCCACACAGCUUAUCAGAAAGUGGAUCAAACAUUAUUGGAGAUUGAUUUCCUCUGAUAGUUCAAUGAAGAAUUCUACUCUGUGGUGUGCUGCUCAGACAAAUCCACCAGGGAAGGUUCAUGUUUGAUUCCCAUUCUGUGCCAAGUUAAAGCUCUGAUGGAAAUUGGUGCAAUUCAUCAUUCCUGGCAAACAUAACGCAACAUCUAGGCUUCUACCAUGUACACAUAGUCAACUAUCAAAAUCACAAACGUUCACAGGAGAUCUCGCAUGUGAGAGUUCAGGCCUACUCCUUCUCAGGCCUACUCCUUCUCUGGGAUAAUU